UACGUAGGGCGCAAGCGUUGUCCGGAAUUAUUGGGCGUAAAGAGCUCGUAGGCGGUUUGUCGCGUCUGCUGUGAAAACCUGAGGCUCAACCUCGGGCUUGCAGUGGGUACGGGCAGACUAGAGUGCGGUAGGGGUGACUGGAAUUCCUGGUGUAGCGGUGGAAUGCGCAGAUAUCAGGAGGAACACCGAUGGCGAAGGCAGGUCACUGGGCCGCAACUGACGCUGGAGGAAGCGAAAGCAUGGGGAGCGAACAGG
rnacentral:rRNA from 1 species